GGGCAUGUAUCUCAGUGGUAGAGUGUGUAUUUAUCAUGCACGAGAACCUGGGUUCAAUCCCCAGUACCUCUA
rnacentral:tRNA from 1 species